GAGUUUGAUCCUGGCUCAGGACGAACGCUGGCGGCGUGCCUAAUACAUGCAAGUCGAGCGAAUCUUGAGGUGCUUGCACCUCUUGGUUAGCGGCGGACGGGUGAGUAACACGUGGGCAACCUGCCUGUAAGACUGGGAUAACACCGGGAAACCGGUGCUAAUACCGGAUAAUCCUUUUCCUCUCAUGUGGGAAAGCUGAAAGUCGGUUUACGCUGACACUUACAGAUGGGCCCGCGGCGCAUUAGCUAGUUGGUGAGGUAACGGCUCACCAAGGCGACGAUGCGUAGCCGACCUGAGAGGGUGAUCGGCCACACUGGGACUGAGACACGGCCCAGACUCCUACGGGAGGCAGCAGUAGGGAAUCUUCCGCAAUGGACGAAAGUCUGACGGAGCAACGCCGCGUGAGCGAUGAAGGCCUUCGGGU
rnacentral:rRNA from 1 species